GUAGGGAAUUUUCGGCAAUGGGCGCAAGCCUGACCGAGCAACGCCGCGUGAGUGAUGAAGGUCUUCGGAUCGUAAAGCUCUGUUGUAAGGGAAGAACGUCUCUGUAAGAAACAGGGAGUGACGGUACCUUACCAGAAAGCCACGGCUAACUACGUGCCAGCAGCCGCGGUAAUACAGAGGUCUCAAGCGUUGUUCGGAAUUAUUGGGCGUACAGGGCGCGUAGGCGGGAAGGUGUGUCGACCUGUCAAUCUAUCGUUUCAAGCGGUAGGCUUGGGUUGAAACUGCCUUUCUAGAGGAUUUCAGGAGAGUUUGGAAUUUACGGUGUAGCAGUGAAAUGCGUGGAUAUCGUAAGGAAGGCUUGUGGCGAAGGCGAAAGUCUGGGGAAUACCUGACGCUGAGGCGCGAAGGCUAGGUUAGCAAACGGGAUUAGAUACCCUGGUAGUCC
rnacentral:rRNA from 1 species